rnacentral:rRNA from 1 species
AUGCGCCACCUCCUCUUGGAGUGCCCCUUCGCCAGGCAGACUUGGCACGAAAUCCUGUCCUGGCUACGGAUGACCACUGCAGGGCCAAGCCACGAAGAUUCAUUGAUGGACUGGUGGCUGCAGGCAAGGCAAAACACGCCAACACUGAUGCGUAAGGGCCUAGCCUCCAUUGCUCUGUUGACACCAUGGAUGAUCUGGAAACAGCGCAACGAAUGCAUCUUUGAGGGCGCCCAGCCCCUGGUUCAGGUUCUGGUCUCGAAGAUCAAAGAGGAAGCCAAGCAGUGGGCAAGAGCGGGCGCCCACGGCCUACGCGUCAUUCUGCCGCCCACCUGGGACGUGCACUAA